rnacentral:rRNA from 1 species
AUUGAACGCUAGCGGGAUGCCUUACACAUGCAAGUCGAACGGAGUGGCGAACGGGUGAGUAAUGUAUCGGAACGUGCCCAGUCGCGGGGGAUAACUACGCGAAAGGGUAGCUAAUACCGCAUACUAUUGGAGCGGCCUAUAUCGGGUUAGCUAGUUGGUGGGGUAACGGCUCACCAAGGCGACGAUCCGUAGCUGGUUUGAGAGGACGAUCAGCCACACUGGGACUGAGACACGGGCCAGACUCCUACGGGAGGCAGCAGUGGGGAAGGUUGGACAAUGGGUGAAACCCGGAUCCAGCCAUCCCGCGUGAGCGAAGAAGGCCUUCGGGUUGUAAAGCACUUUUGGCAGGAAAGCGGUACCUACAGAAUAAGCACCCGCUAACUACGUGCCAGCAGCCGCGGUAAUAC